UUGCGUAAGAGGGACACACGCACACACACACACACACACACACACACACACACACACACACACGGAGCCACAGACUGCAUUUACAUACCAAAAGCAAGCCUAGACAGAAACAAGGAGCGAUGUGAUGAGACUCCACCCAAACAUAGGGCAUCAGGAUGGAUCAGGCAGGUCCGAGGAGCAGAAGAGGUCGGCAUCUCAAUCUCAGGAUUGACAUGGAACUCAGAGG